UACGUAGGGUGCAAGCGUUAAUCGGAAUUACUGGGCGUAAAGCGUGCGCAGGCGGUUUUGUAAGUCAGAUGUGAAAUCCCCGGGCUUAACCUGGGAACUGCGUUUGAAACUACAAGGCUAGAGUGUGGCAGAGGGGGGUGGAAUUCCACGUGUAGCAGUGAAAUGGCGUAGAGAUGUGGAGGAACACCGAUGGCGAAGGCAGCCCCCUGGGUUAACACUGACGCUCAGGCACGAAAGCGUGGGGAGCAAACAGG
rnacentral:rRNA from 1 species